rnacentral:lncRNA from 1 species
AUAAAAUAUAAUUAUCACAAAUUAACCACCUAAUUCUUACAUCAUUUACUACUUUAACUUUAUUUUAAUCUAUCUGGUAUUCACACAGAAUUUGUUCAGGAAGAGUUUUCAGGAAGAAUUUCUGAAAUAUUAAAAACAUUCUACUUGAAAACUCCAAAGUCUUGGUAAAAGACUCAUAUCUAACUUAAUAUAUUAUACUCAUUUAUUUCUUUCAGAUGCAUGUGUAAUAUCAGAAGAAAUCAUGGAAAGAUAUCACAUAACCUUAAGAUGGAAAGAACAUCAAAAGCUUUAUUCUUCAUCAGGGGACACAGUUGAAUUUGUGUGUAAAUAUGGAUAUUCUCCAUCAACGCGAAAUCAAUCAUUUCGUACAAGGUGUAUUGAUGGUCACCUGGAAUAUCCCGCUUGUAUUAAGAGAUACUCUUAAUUUCAUUAAAAUAUGCACUUAAAUUCAGAAUUUUUAUUACUAAUCUAGUUUUCAAUUUUAUUUUAAAGUAUUGUUUAACUCAUUUUUAUUCAUAAAUUAGAAUUUGUGUUGAUAGCUGCUAAUGUGUUUAGAAUCUGAGAGGAUAGAGCCGCACAUCUUAAAAGCACUGCAUUCAAAUUUGGCAAACCAAAGUACCAUGCAUCCUAUUCAUAAAACAUCUAUGCAAGAAAUUAGAUGCAAUUACUUCCAUGCUUGUCUGUGUCCCUCAUUCUCCAAAUUGAAAGUUUUCUACAUAACUUUGGGGCUCUCUGAGACUCUGUUUCACAGUGCAUGAAAAGAUAGACUCUCCAUCUUCAAAAUUAUAAAAUUCAGAAAGAUCUAAAAACCAAACUAAGUCAUGACUUAUUUUAGUAAAAAAUAUAAUCAAUUACUAAGUAUUACUUAUCCAUAAGCAAAUGUAAAAAGAUGACAUGUGAGCUUCUAAAAUAUAUGAAUCUAGUACAUUUAACAAUGUAAACAAAUCAUAAAGAGGAAUAGAAGUUUAAUUGGAUAUAUAACUAUAAAACUAUCAUAACUGUUACUAUAUAACUAGGGAAAAAUGAUUGGCAGAAAAUGCAAUAAAAUCUGUAAAAACUAUAUUUAUACUUAGAGUUAAGAGGAUUGACUUGUUUAAUUCCUUUAAAAAGACAGUCUCUAAAUUAUGAGACAGUCUCUAAAUUUUUUAUUUUUUUACUUUACAGUAGUAUGAAAGUGAUGUGUAUUCAUUAGAAAUUGUACUUUAAUCUUUUUUCUGCAACUAGAAAUACAUGGUAGACUACUUUUAUGGUAUUGGGUAACAGCAGUUAACCACAUCCAAUUGGCAUUGUGAUUAACAAAGUAAGCAAUCACUAUACUACAGAGUACUGUUCUGCUAAGCUAUGAUAUAUGAUAGGUUGGUAUAUUAAAUGCAUGUUCAACUUAAAAUAAUUUUAAUUUAUCAUGAGUUAAUCAGGAUGUAACACCAUUCUAAGUUGAGGAGUAUCAACAUUUAUUAUAUUGUACAAUUUUUCAACCUUUAAUAUACUCAGUUUUGAACUUUAAGAAUAAGUUGUUUUAAGACAAUAAUGCCUAAAAAGCUAGGUGAUAAUGUGGAGAAAUAUAAAGGCCUUAUUGGUAAUGAUCUCAAGGUCAAAUAAUGCUUUAAUAAGUUUUUGUUGCAAGAAUUUUUUUUCUGUUUUUAGAAUUUCAGUAACAAGAUUUUGAAGUGUAAUUUUAUGUCUUUACAUUUUAGACAGCACUAUUUAGUUAAAAUCACUUUGGCUAGAAACAUUUUUGAUUUUUAAAAAGCUAUAAUCUUAGGAUGAAAAUAGAGAUAAAAAUAUACAAAACUUAAAGGUGAUAAAUUGUUACCUCUUAUUGCAUAAAAUCAUAAGGCUUAUAUUAAAUGCUUUCCUCUUGUUUGAGAUCCUGAUUUAGAUAAAUUGAGUUGAGACAGAUUUUCAAUUUCAAUGAAAUUGGUUACAAUAAGCAAGUAAUCCUUGUGUUUAAUAUUAACACCUGAAUAUACUUAACUCAGUUCCAUUGUGCCACUAUAACAAAUAUAAUUUGUUCAGUGUGGCUUAUUUUUAAAAGACAUAUCUUUCAUACAGUUCUUGAGGUGUCCAAGAUCAAGGCACCAGCUAACUUGGUGUCACAGGAGGGCUUAUUCUCUGUUUUGCACAUGGCGUCUUCUCACUAGAUGAAACUAACUAGGUGGAAGUGGCAAGGAAGUGCUCUAGCCUUUCCUUGUAAGGGCACUAUUUCUACUCUUGAGGAUGGAACCCCAUCACCUAUUCACCUAAAAAGACUUCAUCUUCUAAUAUGCUCACUGUGGUCACUAGGAAUGAAACAGUGACAUUUAGGGGGACACAAACAUUCAGGACAUAGAAGAGACUAGGGAAGGAAAAAGACAGUCCAUUCCACAGAACCAAAAGGCAGUAGUGGUGUUUACAAUUCAAUUUCACAGAGGAAUUCAGCCAAACAUUGUAAGACAGAGAUAAAAGAAGUUCAUUAUAUACACACACACACACACAUUCUUUCCAACAUGGGAGAACCUAAAUAUAAAAAGCAAAUGUUAAUAGAUCUUGAGGGAGAAAUAGAUUGCAAAAUAAUAAUAAUAGUUGGGUGCUUCCAUACUCCAUCUUUAAUACAAUAGAUAGGUCAUCCAGAUAUAAAAUCAAUAAGAAAACCUUGUACUUGAGCUGUAUGUUACACCAAAUAGACCUAACAGAUAUCCAUAGAAUAUUCUACACAAUAGCAGAAUACACAUUAUUCUUAGGGCAUACACAACAUUCUCCAAGAUAGUUUAUAUGUUAUGCCACAAAACAAAUUUGAAAUAUUUAAGAAUGCUGAAAUUAUAUCAAGUAUCUUUGCCAAAUAAAAGCACGAAACUAUAAAUCAAUAACAGGGAAUGUUGAUAUAUUCACAAAUAUAUAGAAAUAUAUGAAUGACAUCCUCCUGACCUUCUAAUAGUUCAAUGACAAAAUUGAAAGAAAAAUUAAAUGACACUUACAGACAAACAUCAAAACACAGCAUACUAAAACAUAUAAGGUGCAGAAAAGGAAUUUUGUAAGGGAAAUAAGUAUAUAACUAUAAAUGCCUACAUGAUUUAGAUCUCAAAUAAAUAAUAAAGCUUCAAACUUUAUACCUCAAAAAACUAGAAAAUGAAGAAGUAACUAAAUUAAAGAUAUUAAGAGGGAGGAAAUAAAGAUACACACACAAAAAAACAAUAUUAAGAAGAUACUCAGAAAACACUAUUAAGCAUCAACAAACCUAAAAGUUGAUUUUUUAACCAAUAAACAAAAUUGAUAAAAGUUUAGCUAGACAAAUAUGGAAGUAAAUAAAUUUCAAGGUGAAGAAGAAACAUUACAGCUAAUAGCACAAAAAUACAAAAUGUACUACAAAUUCUCGUAUGAAAAAUUAUACCCGCAAUUUGGAUGACCUAGAAGAAAUGAAUCUUUGUAGAAAGUUGCAACCUACCAGGACUGAAUCACAAAUAGAAAAUCCCAACAGACUGCUAAUGAGCAAGGAGUUUGAAUUAGUUAUUAAAAAUUCUUUUAUGAAAGAAAAGCCCAGGACCUGAUAACUUUACGCCCAGGACCUGGAUGAACCCAACUCCCUUGUAUAACUAUAAAGCUUUAAAAAAAAAUAACAUGCAUCCUUUUCAUGUCCUUCCCCAAAAAAUGGAUGAGUAGUAAGCACUUCCAAAUUCAUUUAUGAGGCCAGCAUUAUCUUGACAAAAAAGCCACACAAGUAUACUAUGAGAAAAUUAUAACCCAAUACACCAGAUGAAUAUCCCUGGUGAAUAGAAAUCCAAAACUCCUCAAUAUAAGAUGAAUUCAACAGCACACUUAAGGGAUCAUAAGACUCGCUCAUCUGUGAUUUAUUUCUGGGACUCAGAGAUGGUUCAAUAAAUACCAGUCAUUAAAUAUUACCCAUUACAUUAAUAGAAUAAACUUUUAAAAUCAUUAUUAUUCAAUAGAUGGGAAAAAAGCAACAUCAUUUGAUAAUAAAAACACUCAAAAAAAUUGGCAUAGAAGGAGUUAUUCCAAGACAAUAAAGGCCAUAUACAAUUUGAAUAAUCCUAAUCCAAAAAUCCAAAAUCUGAAAUGCUAAUACUUCUGAAACUUUCUAGAUAAUAAUGCCCAAAUUGGAAAAUUCCACAUCAUGAUUCUUUGCCUCAUGCACAAAAUUAUUUGGAGUGUGCAUAUAACUAUUUUUGGAAAAUAUUUAUGUAAUGAAUAUGAAAACCAAAUGAGUUUUGUGUUUAGGCUCAGGUCCCACCCCAGUGUAUCAUUAUGUAUAUAUAAGUACUUCAAAACAACAACAAAAAUGUGGUCCCAAGCAUUUGUAAUUAGGGAUAUUCAACUUACAUUAGCAGUCUACAAUUGGUAUCAUACUAAAUGGUUACAUGUUUAAUACUUUACCUCUAAGAUCAGGACUAAGGCAAGAAUAUCUACUGUCUUAGUCCACUUUCAUUUGCUAUCAUAGAAUACCUACGAUUGGGUAACCCUAGCAUCCUCUGCUUGCCCCCAAAUUCAUGUCUUUCUCACACACAAAAUAACAUUCUUUUCAUCUCAAUAGUUUCAAAGUUUUCACUUCCUUCAGCAUCAACUCAAAAGUUCCAAGUCCAAAGUCAUUUAAAUUGAAUAAGGGUGAGACUCAAAGCCUAAAUCAUUCUAAGGCAAAUUUUCUAUAGCUGUGAACCUAUGAAACUAAAACAAGUCAUCUCCUUCCAAAAUACAAUGGGAAAACUGAUACAGGAUAGACAUUUACUUUCCAAAAAAUGGAGAAAUAGGUGGGAAGAAAGGAGUAACAGGCAUCAAGUUCAGUCCUCAAGCUACAAAGUAAUCUAUUUAAUUCCAUGUCUUGCUGAUUGGAAUCAGCAAGGAGAUUGGAAUCCCCAAGGAGUUCAACUUGAUAGUCCUGUGGUUUCGUUGAGCUUAGCCCAUGCUUCAGCCCUGUUGCACUGAUGUGGUCUACAGUUCUGGGGUUUUGGGCAACAGUCCCUAUCCCAAACUUGCCUCUAUACUACCAUAAUGAGAACUGUCUGUGAUAGCUCUGCUCCCAUGAUUUCAUUAGUCAGUGCCCUAGCAUGUAUUCUGUGUUGUUUCUAGCUCUGACCCCACACUUCUGCUUAGCAUUGUCCUAGUGGGAGCUCAAUGUGCUGGUUCUGUCCCAUUAAAAGUCUCUGCCUGAGCCACUGGGUAUGACCUUGAAAUCUAGGAGGAGACUGCCAAACUUGCAUAGCUCUUUGCAGACCUUCAGAAUAAAUUACUUUCAUGUGAAUGCUGCCAAAGUUUAUGGCAUGUACCCUCUGAAGGAGUGUGUCUAGCCGUAACUUGAACUUUAACAGGGUAUCCCCUUCUAGAAGUUGUCCUUGGCAAGAUCACUCACUUUCUUUUCAAAUACUUUAGUACCUUCUCCCUGAAAAUCAAAGGAAGAUCAGUAGAAUAGAGAAAAAGAAUCAGGGGGAGGAAAGAGGGAAAGGAAAAGGGAAAUACUGGGGAAAUAUUCUCUAAAUUAUAUUGAUAUGUUAUGUACAUGUAUAAGUAAGUAACAAUGAAUCCCACUACUAUGUACAACUAUAAUGCACCAAUAAAAAAUAUGGGGGGAAUUCCCCUCCCUUUUACUCAGUAUUUUAAAUUAUAAGGAAAGGCCUCCCCUGCAGAGUCUAAAUUCUGAAAGGCCUCACUUGGAUAGCUAGGAUGUCAAGCAUUUCUUUGAUUCCCAGAACUCAGGGGGCCUUUGUAACAUUCUUCUUGUCAGCUUGCUUUGGGGGGUCAAAAUCUAUUGUGAUAAGACAAAUACACUCUCUGAGGAAGACCCUGCCCAGUCUCCAGGCUUAAUU